rnacentral:rRNA from 1 species
GAUGAACGCUGGCGGCGUGCCUAACACAUGCAAGUCGAACGGGUCUUAUAUAGUGGCGGCAUCAGUCAAAGCAGUAUAAGUACUAGUGGCGGACGGGUGAGUAACGCGUGGGCAACCUGCCCUUUGCUCCGGGAUAACUGUGAGAAAUCACAGCUAAUACGGGAUAAGCCUACAGUAUCGCAUGGUACAGUAGGAAAAGAUUUAUCGGCAAAGGAGGGGCCCGCGUCUGAUUAGCUGGUUGGUGGGGUAACGGCCUACCAAGGCGACGAUCAGUAGCCGGCCUGAGAGGGUGAACGGCCACAUUGGGACUGAGACACGGCCCAAACUCCUACGGGAGGCAGCAGUGGGGAAUAUUGCACAAUGGGGGAAACCCUGAUGCAGCAACGCCGCGUGAAGGAAGAAGGGUUUCGGCUCGUAAACUUCUAUCAACGGGGAAGAAAGAAAUGACGGUACCCGAAUAAGAAGCACCGGCUAACUACGUGCCAGCCGCCGCCGUAAAAC